CGCCUCAGUCUUUCAGCCCAGCAGCCUGAGGUGUCGCAGGAGCAGUGCCUCGGUCAACCUGGGCUGCCCCAGCUCGUCGUUCCCGCUCGCCUCAUGCAGGACUUUCAGCAGCCGAGUUGACCAAAUCAGGCAGGAGGAGACUAUGGAUGUGAUGAACAGGGAGACCGCACAUGAACGAGGGAUCCACACGGCUAUGCAGAUGAGCUGCUCGUGGGAGGACAGUUUUACGUUGGUGAGCAAUUUGACACAGCGCCUCAUGCUGGAUGGUCAGGGAUUAG